rnacentral:hammerhead_ribozyme from 1 species
AUCUAGCUGACGAGUCCCAAAUGGGACGAAAUGCAGAUAGUACUGGAU